AGUGAACGCUGGCGGUAGGCCUAACACAUGCAAGUCGAACGGCAGCGCAGUAAGAGCUUGCUCUUACGGGUGGCGAGUGGCGGACGGGUGAGGAAUACAUCGGAAUCUACUUUUUCGUGGGGGAUAACGUAGGGAAACUUACGCUAAUACCGCAUACGACCUACGGGUGAAAGCAUGGGAUCUUCGGACCUUGCGCGAUUGAAUGAGCCGAUGUCGGAUUAGCUAGUUGGCGGGGUAAAGGCUCACCAAGGCGACGAUCCGUAGCUGGUCUGAGAGGAUGAUCAGCCACACUGGAACUGAGACACGGUCCAGACUCCUACGGGAGGCAGCAGUGGGGAAUAUUGGACAAUGGGCGCAAGCCUGAUCCAGCCAUACCGCGUGGGUGAAGAAGGCCUUCGGGUUGUAAAGCCCUUUUGUUGGGAAAGAAAAGCAGCAGGUUAAUACCCCGCUGUUCUGACGGUACCCAAAGAAUAAGCACCGGCUAACUUCGUG
rnacentral:rRNA from 1 species